GUGAAAUUGUUGAAAGGGAACCGAUGGGAGGCAGUGUUGGCUUGUUAGUACUUGUACUGGUGAGCAAGUUUAGCUUCCUUAACUAUGUGGGAAAGGCUUCUGAAUCAGUUUGAGUCAGUUUUGCUGUCAUGUGGUUGAGGGACUUAAACGAAAUGCCUCUUAUCAUCCCGUCUUGAAACACGGACCAAGGAGUCUAACAUGUGUGCGAGUGCUCGGGUAAAACUCCCAGCGCGGAAUUAACGUAAAGCACUGAGGUAGGAUCUGUAAAGUGCACUAUCGACCGACCAUGAUCCUUCGGGAGAAAGGUUUGAGUGUGAGCAUACAUGUUGGGACCCGAAAGAUGGUGAACUAUGCCUGAGUAGGACGAAGCCAGGGGAAACUCUGGUGGAGGUCCGCAGCGAUUCUAACGUGCAAAUUGAUCGUCGAACUUGGGUAUAGGGGCGAAAGACUAAUCGAACCAUCUAGUAGCUGGUUCCUCCCGAAAUUUCCCUUAGGAUAGCUGCAACCGAACAGUUUUAUCAGGUAAAGCGAAUGAUUAGAGUCCUCAGGGGUGGAACGUCCUUGAACUAUUCUCAAACUUUAAAUGGGUAAGAGCCCUGAGUUGCUUAAUUGAACUCGGCGGUCGAAUGACGGUUGCUAGUGGGCCAAUCUGGGUAAGCUAGAUUGGCGAUGCGGGAUGAACCGAACGUCUAGUUAAAGUGCCAAAGUAUCCGCUAACCUAGAUCCCACAAAAGGUGUUGGUUCAUCUA
rnacentral:rRNA from 1 species